AUGGGCGCAGCCUGAUGCAGCGACGCCGCGUGAGGGAUGACGGCCUUCGGGUUGUAAACCUCUUUCAGUAGGGAAGAAGCGAAAGUGACGGUACCUGCAGAAAAAGCCCCGGCUAACUACGUGCCAGCAGCCGCGGUAAUA
rnacentral:rRNA from 1 species